GAAAAACAAAAAAAGAAGCAAAGAACCAGCCCAAGCCUUCCUCAGAGACUUCUCUGCGGUUGGACCUGAGUGAGCCUCUGGUCACAGGUUGCUCUCUGGGUCCUGCCCUUCACUCUUCCCUUGGUGGUAGCUACUUGAAGUUGAUGUUUGUGUCCAUGUCUACGGGGAUGGCUUUAGAAGGAGCAUCAUCAGUGCUGCAGCCACAUAUGACCCUGAAGUCUGGUGUCAUCCCAUCUCCUUCUAUGGUCCUGCACCCUCUCCCGCCUGACCCAGUCCCAGUACACCAGCUAUACUGGGAGCCGCCCCCACCACCCUUUGGGAAUGCACCACUUCCUCAGGGUAACCCCCUGGUGCUUUCCCCUUUCCCCAUGACACCUGUGAUGGCAGGACAUGGUGGCUAUGGCAAGCCUGGGGCUGGGCCUUUCAACAUCACGGCCCAAGCCAGGAGAGCAAGGAGGCCAGCAGGGUCCCUGCCCACUCAGAGCACUCUCCUCACUCAGGCCCCAGGCAUGAGGGGUGCCCCGGGGGUCCAGCAUUGGGCUGUGCAGAAUCCUGCUCCCCUGCAGCUGAGAGCUCCCCCCACGACCACCUUCAUGCCUGCCCCAAUUUGGG
rnacentral:lncRNA from 1 species